GUGAGGAAUAUUGCGCAAUGGAGGCAACUCUGACGCAGCCAUGCCGCGUGCAGGAAGAAGGCGCUACGCGUUGUAAACUGCUUUUAACCGGGAAGAAACCCCAGGACGUGUCCUGGGUUGACGGUACCGGAGGAAUAAGCACCGGCUAACUUCGUGCCAGCAGCCGCGGUAAUACGAAGGGUGCAAGCGUUAUCCGGAUUCAUUGGGUUUAAAGGGUGCGUAGGCGGAGCGUUAAGUCAGUGGGUAAAUCCUGCAGCUUAACUGUAGACUUGCCAGUGAUACUGGCGCUCUUGAGUGCGCUUGAAGUGGGCGGAAUGUGCCGUGUAGCGGUGAAAUGCUUAGAUAUGGCACAGAACACCAAUUGCGAAGGCAGCUCACUAAGGCGAUACUGACGCUGAGGCACGAAAGCGUGGGGAGCAAACAGGAUUAGAUACCCGGGUAGUCC
rnacentral:rRNA from 1 species